rnacentral:rRNA from 1 species
UGAGAUGUUGGGUUAAGUCCCGCAACGAGCGCAACCCUUGUUCUGUGUUGCCAGCAUGCCUUUCGGGGUGAUGGGGACUCACAGGAGACUGCCGGGGUCAACUCGGAGGAAGGUGGGGACGACGUCAAAUCAUCAUGCCCCUUAUGUCUUGGGCUGCACACGUGCUACAAUGGUCGGUACAAAGGGCUGCGAUGCCGUGAGGCGGAGCGAAUCCCAAAAAGCCGGCCUCAGUUCGGAUUGGGGUCUGCAACUCGACCCCAUGAAGUUGGAGUUGCUAGUAAUCGCAGAUCAGCAUGCUGCGGUGAAUACGUUCCCGGGCCUUGUACACACCGCCCGUAUCUUUU